UUUAAUCGCAAUGUUAUAAAUAUAAUACAUCAAUUUCUUUAAAUUGCACAGCUCUGUUAUGGCUAAAUUGUUAAAAAUACAGAUAUCGAUAAUGUAAAUUGAUUGAAAGGAACCGGAAACGAAAUGCUGUGGCCAAGAUGCAUAAUUACAUCGUCAUUAGCGUGAAAUUUCACAACUUAAACGAUUUUUCCGCGAUAAAACACAGCGUUGCGUUUGAUACGUCGUAUUCACUUGCGUUCGCCAAUUAUUCACCGCGUAAUUGAUAGAUCCGUUUAUAUUACAGGUCCGGAGGACGAGCUGGUGAGGAAACAAGGCCAAUAGGAUCUUGCCAUUUGCUAUCGUUUGAAACGGUUGAUGUAAGUGACGUCCAACAGCACAAAAUAGACUGCACCUCAAAAACAAGGUCAUAUCGGACAUAUGUUUACAGGUAUGAACUUUGCUUCUUAUUUUAGUGUGCUGAAUCAGCCGUACUUUACACAUGUUCUGACUCACCUUGUAUAAUAAGUACCUCCUUAUAUGUAUGUGAUAAUUAGUGCUGUUAUAUGUGCAGUAAGUUUCAAAAAUAAAUUUCACGUUACAAUAUUCUGCUAUACAUACGGUGGCUCGCGAAACUAUUCGAACAUUGCUAUUAGAAACUUUUUAUCUGUAUAAUACACGAAUCGUUUUGAAAUCUCAUUAGCUCCAUUAUGAGACACGGCUAUCAUUUUAUCGAUGAUAAAAUUUGAGACGAAUAUGAAAAUAUAGGAGUUACAAGAUAUUUAUUGGAACAUACACAUCGCAACAAUCAGCAAAGUAUUUGAUCAUCCGUUAUAUUAAUAAGCCACGAUACUUAAUGAGACUUUCUUGAGCAUUAAUUGUAUGUUUAAGACUACUGUUCACGUUGUAUACUAAUUUUUCCAUUAAGAUUACGCUUGCAAUAAAUAGCUUGUCAUUGGACUUGUAGCGGAACAUGAGUCAACGGAAGAUUCAAAUCGGGAGAGACUCGUAUUGUUGUGCCUUGGAGUGGCAACGUUGUUUUAGUUUGCUAGGUUCAAAGAUAAACAAACUCCGGACAAAAUAUUAUCGCCGUUCUUUGUAAUCGUCAACCGGAGUUGCAUUCGAACUUUUUAAAAUACCAUCGGUCGAUACAAAUAGACGAACGUGCUCUCUAGGACAGUCAUUGUAGCGAAUUUUUAUAGCGAGUCAGACGUUCGAAUAGCAAAGUAGCAGAGUUGAACAGUAGCAUUGAGCCAUACGCUAUCUCUGUUCCUGUACUUAAAGUGAUUUUAAUAUACACUGACUAUUACAAUUUUAUCACUCGUCUCUUUAAUAAACCAACACGUAUAAUAAUA